rnacentral:rRNA from 1 species
AGAGUUUGAUCCUGGCUCAGAGCGAACGCUGGCGGCGUGCUUAACACAUGCAAGUCGAGUGCGCGUUUCCGUAGCAAUACUGAAAUGGCGCACGGCGCACGGGUGCGUAACACGUGGGUAAUCUGCCCUUCGAUGGGGAAUAACCUCGCGAAAGCGAGGCUAAUUCCGCAUAACAUUCCGAUGAUUAUGGUCAAUGGAUUCAAAGCCGCAAGGCGUCGGAGGAGGAGCCCGCGCACGAUUAGCUAGUUGGUGAGGUAACGGCUCACCAAGGCUAUGAUCGUUAGCUGGUCUGAGAGGAUGGCCAGCCACACUGGAACUGAGACACGGUCCAGACUCCUACGGGAGGCAGCAGUGGGGAAUCUUGCACAAUGGGCGAAAGCCUGAUGCAGCGACGCCGCGUGGGGGAUGAAGCUUUUCGGAGUGUAAACCCCUUUCGACCCGGACGAAUGCCCCGCAAGGGGACUGACGGUACGGGUAUAAGAAGCCCCGGCUAACUACGUGCCAGCAGCCGCGGUAAGACGUAGGGGGCCAGCGUUGCUCGGAAUUACUGGGUGUAAAGGGUUCGUAGGCGGUGUGGCAAGUUGGGAGUGAAAUCUCUGGGCUCAACCCAGAGGCUGCUUCCAAAACUGCCGUGCUUGAGUGUGGGAGAGGCGCGUGGAAUUGCAGGUGUAGCGGUGAAAUGCGUAGAUAUCUGCAGGAACACCCGUGGCGAAAGCGGCGCGCUGGACCACAACUGACGCUGAGGAACGAAAGCUAGGGGAGCAAACAGGAUUAGAUACCCUGGUAGUCC